UACAGAGGGGGCAAGCGUUGUUCGGAAUUAUUGGGCGUAAAGGGCGCGUAGGCGGUGCGGUAAGUCACUUGUGAAAUCUCUGGGCUCAACUCAGAGUCUGCAGGCGAAACUGCCGUGCUUGGGUGUGGGAGAGGUAUGUGGAAUUCCCGGUGUAGCGGUGAAAUGCGUAGAUAUCGGAAGGAACGCCGGUGGCGAAAGCGACGUGCUGGACACCUUCUGACGCUGAGGCGCGAAAGCCAGGGGAGCAAACGGG
rnacentral:rRNA from 1 species